rnacentral:rRNA from 1 species
UACAGAGGUCUCAAGCGUUGUUCGGAUUCAUUGGGCGUAAAGGGUGCGUAGGUGGCGCUGUAAGUCAGGUGUGAAAUUUCGGAGCUCAACUCCGAAACUGCAUUCGAUACUGCCGUGCUUGAGGACUGGAGAGGAGACUGGAAUUUACGGUGUAGCGGUGAAAUGCGUAGAUAUCGUAAGGAAGACCAGUGGCGAAGGCGGGUCUCUGGACAGUUCCUGACGCUGAGGCACGAAGGCCAGGGGAGCAAACGGG